AAACUUGGUGUAAAUACAGCGAAAAGACACCAAACAUGACGAAGACAGAAGAGCUAACUGCACUGUAAUUACCACAGCGUCCUCAUCAGUGGACACACGUGGUGACGAGGGUGCGAACAGUGAAUGGUGGAGUCCCGUCCAUGAACACGGCUGGUUCCCAUCAUACCUGCCUGAUGUGUGGGGGGAAUGGGGCUCCACUACACGGUUGGAUGCUCCAUUGUGAUGGACAGGUGAUGGAUGACACGUUGCCAUCUCAUAAGGCAAAGCUUAUAUUCACAGCUCUCAGUGCCUCCUCUCAUCCGCCUGUGCCCUUGAAUGUGACCAGCCAAUUUGCAUAGUAUCUCAGUUUUCUCCUGUGUGAUGAGAUUAAAUUCAGAAUGGCCAUUAAUGCGUCUGAAGGGCCGACGCCAACCUGCUCCACCAGCGUGCUUCACUCUGAAGCAGGACUGCUUCAGACUGCAGACUGCAAGAUGGGGCCCUGAAAUUUGGUCCAUGGUGAUGCUGACAACACAAAAUACUGUAAUAUGCAAAAUGCUAAAUACUUCUUAUAGCCAGAUUUGUCCGUCCACCCAUCCGUCUUCUGUACCGCUUAAUCUGUCAGGUCACAGGGAGGUGGAGCCUAUCCCAGCUGACUACGGGCGAGAGGGAUUGAAGCCGGAGAACCCGGAGAAAACCCACGCAGGCACAGUGGGAACAUGCAGACUGAAGAGCUCAGACCACGGACACCUGUGGAACCGACUGUCCUCAGAGGAUGAAUCCUAACUAAUUUGUUUAGUCACUGAUUUUUCAUGUGGCGCCACCAACAGGUCAAAUCACCUCUAAAACCAAGGGCCAAAUUCCAAUCAGCCAAAUGUGUACUUUUACAUUCAUUUAGCAUGUUAGCAUAGCUUGCAGAUCACAUUCAGUGUUCAGAACACUCAUCAUUAUGUCCUUAUGGGACGCCUCAUGUGUUCCUGUUCUGGAGUUCUUGGGUUCCUGUCGCCUGUUGGACUGUAAGUUUGUUCUCACAGGUUAAAGUUGGCGCAGACUUCCAGCCUGCCUCUGUACGAGUCUGCAUUUGGGUCCUGAAAUCUCUGAAUGUAAAACUGGGAAAAUCAACUACUGAUCUAAUAAGUUGGAUCCAAAUGUUAUACUUAUAUAACAUGUUCUCUGUACUGUUCACACUGUAGUUGGCGUAUUUUCAUUCACUGCAACAACAGCUGCUUGUUUCUCAUUCGAUUGUCCUUUUUCCAGUUAAAUUACGUUGCUUGCUGUUAUAUUAUUAUAGUCAUGGUUAUUGAAUUGUUUUAUUCAUGGUUUUGUUUUGUUGAUCAACAUGUGAGUUGUCUUCCGUUCAGAAGGUGUGAGUGCAGGUGAUCACGGCAGGUGUUACACAGACUCCUCUGGUUACAGGAU